rnacentral:rRNA from 1 species
UACGUAGGUGGCAAGCGUUGCCCGGAAUUAUUGGGCGUAAAGCGCGCGCAGGCGGUCCUUUAAGUCUGAUGUGAAAGCCCUCGGCUCAACCGAGGAAGGUCAUUGGAAACUGGAGGACUUGAGUGCAGAAGAGGAAAGUGGAAUUCCAAGUGUAGCGGUGAAAUGCGUAGAGAUUUGGAGGAACACCAGUGGCGAAGGCGACUUUCUGGUCUGUAACUGACGCUGAGGCGCGAAAGCGUGGGGAGCAAACAGG